rnacentral:rRNA from 1 species
GACGAACGCUGGCGGCGUGCUUAACACAUGCAAGUCGAACGGAAAGGCCCUGCUUGCAGGGUACUCGAGUGGCGAACGGGUGAGUAACACGUGGGUGAUCUGCCCUGCACUUCGGGAUAAGCCUGGGAAACUGGGUCUAAUACCGGAUAGGAGGCAUUUUUAGUGUGAUGGUUGGAAAGUUUUUUCGGUGUAGGAUGAGCUCGCGGCCUAUCAGCUUGUUGGUGGGGUAAUGGCCUACCAAGGCGGCGACGGGUAGCCGGCCUGAGAGGGUGGACGGCCACAUUGGGACUGAGAGACGGCCCAGACUCCUACGGGAGGCAGCAGUGGGGAAUAUUGCACAAUGGGCGCAAGCCUGAUGCAGCGACGCCGCGUGGGGGAUGACGGCCUUCGGGUUGGAAACUCCUUUCGCUAGGGACGAAGCUUUUUGUGACGGUACCUAGAUAAGAAGCACCGGCUAACUACGUG